AUUUAUAUAGUAUAUACAAUUACAUUUAAUUUCCAAUUAAAAAAAUUAACGUUAUCUUAAUAUAAAUA
rnacentral:tRNA from 1 species